rnacentral:tRNA from 2 species
AGCCCUGUGGUGUAAUUGGCAACAUAGCGCCCUUUGAAGGCGAAGAUUCCAGGUACCCUUCGGGAAGCAAGCUACGAGUCCUGGCGGGGCUGCCA